UUUUGGACAAUGGGGGCAACCCUGAUCCAGCCAUGCCGCGUGAGUGAAGAAGGCCUUCGGGUUGUAAAGCUCUUUCGGACGGAACGAAAUGGGCGGGACUAAUACUCCUGUCUGAUGACGGUACCGUAAGAAGAAGCACCGGCUAACUACGUGCCAGCAGCCGCGGUAAUACGUAGGGUGCGAGCGUUAAUCGGAAUUACUGGGCGUAAAGCGUGCGCAGGCGGUUUCGUAAGCUGGAGGUGAAAUCCCCGGGCUUAACCUGGGAAUGGCCUUCAGGACUGCGAGGCUAGAGUGCGGCAGAGGGAGGUGGAAUUCCACGUGUAGCAGUGAAAUGCGUAGAGAUGUGGAGGAAUACCGGUGGCGAAGGCGGCCCCCUGGACGAAGACUGACGCUCAGUGCGAAA
rnacentral:rRNA from 1 species